rnacentral:rRNA from 1 species
UACGUAGGGUGCAAGUGUUAAUCGGAAUUACUGGGCGUAAAGCGUGCGCAGGCGGUGAUGUAAGACAGGUGUGAAAUCCCCGGGCUUAACCUGGGAACUGCAUUUGUGACUGCAUCGCUGGAGUGCGGCAGAGGGGGAUGGAAUUCCGCGUGUAGCAGUGAAAUGCGUAGAUAUGCGGAGGAACACCGAUGGCGAAGGCAAUCCCCUGGGCCUGCACUGACGCUCAUGCACGAAAGCGUGGGGAGCAAACAGG